GGUUAAGUGACUAAGCGUACACGGUGGAUGCCUAGGCAGUCAGAGGCGAUGAAGGGCGUGCUAAUCUGCGAAAAGCGUCGGUAAGGUGAUAUGAACCGUUACAACCGGCGAUACCCGAAUGGGGAAACCCAGUGUGUUUCGACACACUAUCAUGUCAUGAAUACAUAGUGGCAUGAGGCGAACCGGGGGAACUGAAACAUCUAAGUACCCCGAGGAAAAGAAAUCAACCGAGAUUCCCCCAGUAGCGGCGAGCGAACGGGGAGGAGCCCAGAACCUGAAUCGGCUUGUGUGUUAGUGGAAGCGUCUGGAAAGUCGCGCAGUAAAGGGUGAUAGCCCCGUACACUAAAAUGCACAGGUCGUGAGUUCGAUGAGUAGGGCGGGACACGUGACAUCCUGUCUGAAUAUGGGGGGACCAUCCUCCAAGGCUAAAUACUCCUGACUGACCGAUAGUGAACCAGUACCGUGAGGGAAAGGCGAAAAGAACCCCGGCGAGGGGAGUGAAAUAGAACCUGAAACCGUGUACGUACAAGCAGUGGGAGCACCUUCGUGGUGUGACUGCGUACCUUUUGUAUAAUGGGUCAGCGACUUAUAUUUUGUAGCAAGGUUAACCGUAUAGGGGAGCCGUAGGGAAACCGAGUCUUAACUGGGCGAAUAGUUGCAAGGUAUAGACCCGAAACCCGGUGAUCUAGCCAUGGGCAGGUUGAAGGUUGGGUAACACUAACUGGAGGACCGAACCGACUAAUGUUGAAAAAUUAGCGGAUGACUUGUGGCUGGGGGUGAAAGGCCAAUCAAACCGGGAGAUAGCUGGUUCUCCCCGAAAGCUAUUUAGGUAGCGCCUCGUGAACUCAUCUUCGGGGGUAGAGCACUGUUUCGGCUAGGGGGCCAUCCCGGCUUACCAAACCGAUGCAAACUCCGAAUACCGAAGAAUGUUAUCACGGGAGACACACGGCGGGUGCUAACGUCCGUCGUGAAGAGGGAAACAACCCAGACCGCCAGCUAAGGUCCCAAAGUCAUGGUUAAGUGGGAAACGAUGUGGGAAGGCAUAGACAGCCAGGAUGUUGGCUUAGAAGCAGCCAUCAUUUAAAGAAAGCGUAAUAGCUCACUGGUCGAGUCGGCCUGCGCGGAAGAUGUAACGGGGCUAAACCAUGCACCGAAGCUGCGGCAGCGACGCUUAGGCGUUGUUGGGUAGGGGAGCGUUCUGUAAGCCGUUGAAGGUGGCCUGUGAGGGUUGCUGGAGGUAUCAGAAGUGCGAAUGCUGACAUAAGUAACGAUAAAGCGGGUGAAAAGCCCGCUCGCCGGAAGACCAAGGGUUCCUGUCCAACGUUAAUCGGGGCAGGGUGAGUCGACCCCUAAGGCGAGGCUGAAAAGCGUAGUCGAUGGGAAACAGGUUAAUAUUCCUGUACUUGGUGUUACUGCGAAGGGGGGACGGAGAAGGCUAGGCUAGCCGGGCGACGGUUGUCCCGGUUUAAGCGUGUAGGGGGUGUGACCUGGUAAAUCCGGUUGCAUGCUAACCCUGAGGCGUGAUGACGAUGCACUACGGUGCAGAAGUAGUUGAUGCCCUGCUUCCAGGAAAAUCCUCUAAGCUCCAGGUAACAUUAAAUCGUACCCCAAACCGACACAGGUGGUCAGGUAGAGAAUACCAAGGCGCUUGAGAGAACUCGGGUGAAGGAACUAGGCAAAAUGGUGCCGUAACUUCGGGAGAAGGCACGCUGGCAUGUAGGUGAAGUCCCUUGCGGAUGGAGCUGAAGCCAGUCGAAGAUACCAGCUGGCUGCAACUGUUUAAUAAAAACACAGCACUGUGCAAACACGAAAGUGGACGUAUACGGUGUGACGCCUGCCCGGUGCUGGAAGGUUAAUUGAUGGGGUCAGCCGCAAGGCGAAGCUCUUGAUCGAAGCCCCAGUAAACGGCGGCCGUAACUAUAACGGUCCUAAGGUAGCGAAAUUCCUUGUCGGGUAAGUUCCGACCUGCACGAAUGGCGUAAUGAUGGCCAGGCUGUCUCCACCCGAGACUCAGUGAAAUUGAACUCGCUGUGAAGAUGCAGUGUACCCGCGGCAAGACGGAAAGACCCCGUGAACCUUUACUAUAGCUUGACACUGAACAUUGAGCCUUGAUGUGUAGGAUAGGUGGGAGGCUUUGAAGCGUGGACGCCAGUCUGCGUGGAGCCAUCCUUGAAAUACCACCCUUUAAUGUUUGAUGUUCUAACUCGGCCCCAUAAUCUGGGGUGAGGACAGUGUCUGGUGGGUAGUUUGACUGGGGCGGUCUCCUCCCAAAGAGUAACGGAGGAGCACGAAGGUUAGCUAAUCACGGUCGGACAUCGUGAGGUUAGUGCAAAGGCAUAAGCUAGCUUGACUGCGAGAGUGACGGCUCGAGCAGGUACGAAAGUAGGUCUUAGUGAUCCGGUGGUUCUGAAUGGAAGGGCCAUCGCUCAACGGAUAAAAGGUACUCCGGGGAUAACAGGCUGAUACCGCCCAAGAGUUCAUAUCGACGGCGGUGUUUGGCACCUCGAUGUCGGCUCAUCACAUCCUGGGGCUGAAGUAGGUCCCAAGGGUAUGGCUGUUCGCCAUUUAAAGUGGUACGCGAGCUGGGUUUAGAACGUCGUGAGACAGUUCGGUCCCUAUCUGCCGUGGGCGUUGGAAGAUUGAGAGGGGUUGCUCCUAGUACGAGAGGACCGGAGUGAACGCACCACUGGUGUUCGGGUUGUCAUGCCAAUGGCAUUGCCCGGUAGCUAAGUGCGGAAAAGAUAAGCGCUGAAAGCAUCUAAGCGCGAAACUUGCCUCAAGAUGAGUCUUCCCUGGGCCUUUAAGGUCCCUGAAGGAACGUUUAAGACUAAGACGUUGAUAGGCUGGGUGUGUAAGUGCAGCGAUGCAUUGAGCUAACCAGUACUAAUGAUCCGUGAGGCUUAACCUU
rnacentral:rRNA from 1 species